UGAUGUGUGCUAGAAUAAUCACGACAGUAAAGUAAAGACGGGGGCUAUCUAAUUGAAAGUGAGGUGGGGCGUAUGAACGUACUUCCAAAAUCUGAAGAAAGGAGACGCCUUUUGCCCUUUGCAGAAAUCAUUGCAUUGAUCGUAGUGAUCGCGUCCAGCGGAAAA
rnacentral:sRNA from 1 species